rnacentral:rRNA from 1 species
AUACGUAGGGUGCAAGCGUUAAUCGGAAUUACUGGGCGUAAAGCGUGCGCAGGCGGUUUUGUAAGACAGUGGUGAAAUCCCCGGGCUCAACCUGGGAACUGCCAUUGUGACUGGAAGGCUGGAGUGCGGCAGAGGGGGAUGGAAUUUCGCGGGGAGCAGGGAAAUGCGUAGAUAUGCGGAGGAACACCGAUGGCGAAGGCAAUCCCCUGGGCCUGCACUGACGCUCAUGCACGAAAGCGUGGGGAGCAAACAGGAUUAGAUACCCUGGUAGUCCACGCCCUAAACGAUGUCAACUGGUUGUUGGGGAUUUAUUUUCUCAGUAACGAAGCUAACGCGUGAAGUUGACCGCCUGGGGAGUACGGCCGCAAGGUUAAAACUCAAAGGAAUUGACGGGG